AGGGGGCUGAAUGUGCUCUGGGCCUGGCUGGAGGGUUCUAGGUCACAGCAGGGCCUCCUCCUUGGCCUGAAGGGGGCGGGGCCUGCCAGGGAGUGCCUUGCGGGAAGGGAGGGCAAAGGGCCAUGUCUUUCACUUGCCCCACCCGGCUGCCAAGAGUUCCAGUCACCAGGCCACCCUGAGUCUGGGUCCUUGAGGGUCGAGACUGGGAGACUGGGGCAGCAACCUGGGGCAGGAACAGGGCACCUCAACCCCUUCCCCACCUGACAUCAGCAUCAAAGUCAAGGCCAGGGCAGCAGGGCCCAGUGCGGGACACCUCUUCCAGAAAAGACUUGAUCGUCGCCUCCUCCUCUGUCACCCUGUGCCACAGCCCAGAGUCCCAGGCUGCUGGAGCACUGGGGGACACCCAGACAGAGCCUUCCCUGGACCAAGUCCUCCAGGAGCGGGAUGAAGCCAUUGCCAAGAAGCGGGCAGUGGAGGCGGAGCUGCACACGUGCAAAGCCCGGCUGCAUGCCGUAGAGGCCCAGCUGCUGGAGGUCCUGGAGGAGAAACUGAGGCUGAGGCGGGAGCUGGAGGCCUGGGAGGAAGACAUGCAGCGACUGGUGUGGCAACAGGUCCAGAAUCAGCUGCGGAAAGAGGCUGAGGGCACUCGGGGAGCCCACGUGGACCCUGGAGCUGCCAGGAACCCCUGGUCUAGAUUCUCCCUGGGUCGGGGACGUUGGUGGUGACACAGACCUCAGCCCAGGACUGUGGGAGUAGUCUUUAUUCAUUAAAGCCUGAGGUCUGACCACCCCUGUAAA